CUUGCUCUUAUGAAGUUAGCGGCGGACGGGUGAGUAACACGUGGGUAACCUACCCAUAAGACUGGGAUAACUCCGGGAAACCGGGGCUAAUACCGGAUAAUAUUUUGAACUGCAUAGUUCGAAAUUGAAAGGCGGCUUCGGCUGUCACUUAUGGAUGGACCCGCGUCGCAUUAGCUAGUUGGUGAGGUAACGGCUCACCAAGGCAACGAUGCGUAGCCGACCUGAGAGGGUGAUCGGCCACACUGGGACUGAGACACGGCCCAGACUCCUACGGGAGGCAGCAGUAGGGAAUCUUCCGCAAUGGACGAAAGUCUGACGGAGCAACGCCGCGUGAGUGAUGAAGGCUUUCGGGUCGUAAAACUCUGUUGUUAGGGAAGAACAAGUGCUAGUUGAAUAAGCUGGCACCUUGACGGUACCUAACCAGAAAGCCACGGCUAACUACGUGCCAGCAGCCGCGGUAAUACGUAGGUGGCAAGCGUUAUCCGGAAUUAUUGGGCGUAAAGCGCGCGCAGGUGGUUUCUUAAGUCUGAUGUGAAAGCCCACGGCUCAACCGUGGAGGGUCAUUGGAAACUGGGAGACUUGAGUGCAGAAGAGGAAAGUGGAAUUCCAUGUGUAGCGGUGAAAUGCGUAGAGAUAUGGAGGAACACCAGUGGCGAAGGCGACUUUCUGGUCUGUAACUGACACUG
rnacentral:rRNA from 1 species